UACGGAGGGUGCAAGCGUUAAUCGGAAUUACUGGGCGUAAAGCGCACGCAGGUGGCUGAGUCAGUCGAUUGUGAAAGCCCUGGGCUUAACCUGGGAAUUGCAGUCGAUACUACUCAGCUAGAGUAUGGGAGAGGGAAGCGGAAUUUCCGGUGUAGCGGUGAAAUGCGUAGAUAUCGGAAGGAACAUCAGUGGCGAAAGCGGCUUCCUGGACCAGUACCGACGUUCAGGCACGAAAGCGUGGGGAGCAAACAGG
rnacentral:rRNA from 1 species